rnacentral:tRNA from 1 species
UGAUAUCGUGCUUGACAAAAAGAUCGUCUUGAUAAAGCGAGUAUGAGAGCCAACCUCUCCGUUAUCAA